CCCAGCUAACAAUUUUUUCCGAGGGCUCUGAUGUCCGAUUUUUUGUCGAGAUUUUCAGACGUUUCUUCAGAAAAGUUUCCGAGUAAUCUGCACAUACUCGUUUCUUUUGUUUUGUUUGAACAAAACAAAGCAAAAGAGAAAAAAAAAACAUCGUAUACAGAGAGUUAACUCUUUUUUGGCGAGAAUUUCUAAUGUUACUCCAGAAAAGUUUCCGAGUAAUCUGCACAUACUCGUUUCUUUUGUUUAAAAAAAAAAAAAAACACAAAAAUUCUGACAUUAGCAGAGAGUUAACUUUUUUCUGUUGAGAUUUAUUUUACCGUUCCUUUCGAAAAGUUUCCGAGUACUCUGCACAUGCUCGGUUGAAAUUAUUUGAAGAAUUUUGUGUAUACAACUUUUUUGUUUUUUUUGAUUAUGAUCAGUUUGUCGUCAGAAUUUGUACGGAGCACGAGUGCAGUGUGUUGCAGUGAAAAGUUAAAAUGAAAAUUAAAGGAAGAUUUGGACCUUCAGUACCUUAUGCUACGCCGUUUAAAAAAUCAACGCCAUGACAAUGUAAACACUUUUACAUAUGAAAAUUUUAGACUUAUUUUUCAAACUGGCGAGGUCAACGUUUUCGUGGCACGAAAUGUACCAAAAUACAGCUGUAAAGGACAUCUAAUUUAUUAGGCUCGUUAAAGAUGCGGCAUUGGAACAUAUUCCGGAAACUAUGGGAAGUGCCAUAUAAACCCAUAUAAAACAUUUCUUCAAAUCGGCUAAAGAUAGGCUUAACAAACCUUAACCUGGGCCAAAAUCGAACUCAGUCAACCUUAAACUCCUUUGUUCAUCUGAGAAUAAGCCAGCCGAUGACUUGAGCCAGCCAAAUAUGCGCUUUAUAUAUUUCCACCCUUAAUUAUAUUGAUUUACAUUGAAUUGCAACUUUUUUUGUUUUUUAUAUAUUAAUUUCCGUAUUCCUUAUAUUUUACAAAAAAAAAAAAAAACUGAAUACAAAUGUUCUGUCAUUAAAUUGAAAAAUACAAACAUAAACAAUUAUCUAAAAACUAGAUAAAGUUUUAUUAUUUCUUUAUGUUUUUCGAUUACAACUAUAAAAUAAAUGUAGAUUUUUUUGCGAAUUUCGUAUCAAACAUCCUAUUAUUUUCCGAUUUUCGAAUGAAUUAUUCGAAUUUUUCCCGAUUUUCGGAUAAAACUAUAGAAUAAAUUCAGAUUUUUUUUCCGAAUUUCGAAUCAAACAUCCGAAAAUUUUCAGAAUUUCGUAUCAAACAUCCUAUUAUUUUCCGAUUUUCGAAUGAAUUAUUCGAAUUUUUCCCGAUUUUCGGAUAAAACUAUAGAAUAAAUUCAGAUUUUUUUCCGAAUUUCGAAUCAAACAUCCGAAAAUUUUCAGAAUUUCGUAUCAAACAUCCUAUUAUUUUCCGAUUUUCGAAUGAAUUAUUCGAAUUUUUCCCGAUUUUCGGAUAAAACUAUAGAAUAAAUUCAGAUUUUUUUCCGAAUUUCGUAUCAAACAUCCGAAAUUUUUCCGAAUUUCGUAUCAAACAUCCUAUAUUUCUCCGAAUUUUCCUUUUUUCUUUGCCGAAUUCUAUACGAAUUCGCCCCGAAACUCUUACGUUCUUUCAGAAUUUUUUCCGCAAAAUCUUUCAGAAUCUUGGGCAAUCUCACACAAUUUUUUUCCGAUUUCUUUCCGAAUUCGACAUCAGAGUCGGAAACUUGUGCAGAGUUUUUUUCCGAAUUCGGAAGAAAAUCGGAAAAAAAUGUUUGCUGGGAUAUUACAUUUC